GACGAACGCUGGCGGCGUGCUUAACACAUGCAAGUCGAACGGUGAUGCUCCAGCUUGCUGGAGUGGAUCAGAGGCGAACGGGUGAGUAACACGUGAGCAACCUGCCCCAGACUCUGGAAUAAGCGCUGGAAACGGCGUCUAAUACUGGAUACGAAACUGGCCCGCAUGGGCAUGGUUUGGAAAGUUUUUCGGUUUGGGAUGGGCUCGCGGCCUAUCAGCUUGUUGGUGAGGUAAUGGCUCACCAAGGCGACGACGGGUAGCCGGCCUGAGAGGGCGACCGGCCACACUGGGACUGAGACAGGGCACAGACUCCUACGGGAGGCAGCAGUGGGGAAUAUUGCACAAUGGGCGAAAGCCUGAUGCAGCGACGCCGCGUGAGGGAUGACGGCCUUCGGGUUGUACACCUCUUUCAGCAGGGAAGAAGCGAAAGUGACGGUACCUGCAGAAGAAGCACCGGCUAACUACGUG
rnacentral:rRNA from 1 species